rnacentral:miRNA from 1 species
UUUGUUCGUUUUGCUUGCGAUCA